rnacentral:rRNA from 1 species
CCUACGGGAGGCAGCAGUGAGGAAUAUUGGUCAAUGGACGAGAGUCUGAACCAGCCAAGUAGCGUGAAGGAUGACUGCCCUAUGGGUUGUAAACUUCUUUUAUAUGGGAAUAAAAUGUUCCACGUGUGGGGUUUUGUAUGUACCAUAUGAAUAAGGAUCGGCUAACUCCGUGCCAGCAGCCGCGGUAAUACGGAGGAUCCGAGCGUUAUCCGGAUUUAUUGGGUUUAAAGGGAGCGUAGAUGGGUUGUUAAGUCAGUUGUGAAAGUUUGCGGCUUAACCGUAAAAUUGCAAUUGAUACUGGCAGUCUUGAGUACAGUUGAGGUAGGCGGAAUUCGUGGUGUAGCGGUGAAAUGCUUAGAUAUCACGAAGAACCCCGAUUGCGAAGGCAGCUUACUAAACUGUGACUGACAUUGAUGCUCGAAAGUGUGGGUAUCAAACAGGAUUAGAUACCCGAGUAGUC